rnacentral:lncRNA from 1 species
AUUUUAAUUUGACUAUCUAUCUUUUAAAAAGUUUUGAUUUUGCUAUCUAAUAUUUGGAUUUAUUUGAUUUGAAUUAGUUAAUGACUCUUUAACAUCAAAAUUUGAAUGUAUCCUUUAUCUUUAUGGAACUAAUAAGUAUAUUUUAUGUAAUUCAUGCAACUGUACAUUUAUUAAAAUAAUCAAUUAGCUUAAAAUUUCGUACCUAAAGUGUCAUGAAAUAGUUUAAAUGAAACAAAUCAAAAAAUUGUAUACUAAAAUUAAAAUUUUAAAAAUUAGAUAGUCGAAUCAGAAUAAUCUAUAAUUCGAA